CUUGUGAAACAAUGAGGGAAAGAAAUCCUUCCUCCAAGUUACUGCUCUCAGGCAGUGGUCACUGUAAGGGAGGGCGCAGUAAAUAAACCACUGAAAUGGCUGCUCCAUCGAUGGAGAGACAGUUUUUAUUCACAUGGAUUCCAGGGAUCCACUCAUUUGGAAAAGCAAUUUCAUAGGAACGACAAUUAUUUGGACUACAAAGAAAGUGAUCCAAGCUGGUUGAGGGUGGAUAUUUCACAUGCACAGGAAGUCCAGAGUUUUGAAGAGUCCAGUCUGACAGUGUCCAUGCACACCUUCAACCACACUUUACCUUUGCCUCGGUUUAUACUCACUACAUGUCCUUCUACUGUGGAAUGGAACUCAGCCUUCAUGUUUGGCAACAGCUACCUUUCGGAGCCUCCUGCUUAAAAUCUAACCAAUGACUCCUUAUGGUCAAACCAAGAGCUCUGGAAACAGAUCUCUCUGCAUAACCCUCACUGUCCUGGAACUCACUGUGAAGAUCGGCUUGGCCUCAAACUCAUAGAGAUCCAUUGGCCUCUGCCUCUCAGUGCUGGGAUUAAAGGUACGUACUGCCAUGCUCCGCCUAGACUGGUUCUUAGCAUGUCCCGUGUCACACUGAUGCUGACUGUCCCUGGUCUGUUUUCAAUGCUAAAUGUGUAAAGCAAUGUCAUUAGUGACUACACAACACAUGCAGGCACACACACACAUGAAAACACCAAAGUAGACACCCAGAUACCCAAUUUUGACAAAAUUUCACAUGUUGUAGACUGGCUGAUUUGUGGCAGCAUUCUAAGUUGUUACUGUCUUUUAAGAAGGCAACAUUGGCUAUAGAGAACAUAGAAGAAUAAAAGAGAUGUUUAUUUCUCACCCUGUGAUUUCAUGGUGAGUAACAUGCUUAUGCCUGUAUGUACCUUCUAUGCCUCUCUUUGGCCCUGACACCGAAUGACUGAAUCCCUGAAGGCAGGGCUGACUGUGCCAAGCUCUACCUCGUACAUGGCUCUUGCUACCUAGAGUGGGGCACCAAAGCACGUGACUCUCCUAUCUACCCUCUUGAGGGAUACCAGGAGCAACUGGAGACCAGCACAAGAUCACGCGUAGCAGACUGCUGGAAAGUGUGGUCAGAGUGCAACGCAAUGGGAGAUAACCAUUUUUGUAUGCAAAUAUCCAAAUCAACUCAUCAAGGUUACUGUGUUCCUGUUUCAACCUUUGGUUUGCUUCCUCUCUCGUGGGUACCUUCUCACCUUCUGCCUGACAGUAAAUAACCCCACAGUCUGCUCACCGCUUCAGAAAAAGCCUAGGUCAUCCCUUCCAUUGCAAGGGUUGUUGCUUUUAUCCGGCAAGUGUCUGCCUAGCCCACCGGCUCUCCUCCACCAGCACUGCUGAACUGUUACUCUGGGGAAUGACACCAACACCUUAUUUGCCUUCAUGUUCCUUAAGUCACAGCAGCCAGAACCUCCUUUUUUAAAAGGCCAGAGGACAGCUUGUGGAAUCAGUUCUCUCCUUGCACGUGUGAGUGUUGGGACUAAACUCAGCCUCGGCAGCAACGGCCUUUACCAGCCGAGACGCCGCAUCUCCCCAGGUCUUUCACAUACAUGUCAGCCUCUUUCUUGAAAUUGAUCAUUUCCUUAAGGACGCCAGAUUUCUGUCAGUGUGAAGCAUCAUUUAGAGGCCCCUGUCUGGUACCAGGGGCACUCAUUGCUAUGGGGCUUUUGAGGGGAAGGAAUAAAUAAACAAAUAAAUGUGUAUUUUAACAAUAAAA